CGGACGGGUGAGUAAUGUCUGGGAAACUGCCUGAUGGAGGGGGAUAACUACUGGAAACGGUAGCUAAUACCGCAUAACGUCGCAAGACCAAAGAGGGGGACCUUCGGGCCUCUUGCCAUCGGAUGUGCCAGAUGGGAUUAGCUAGUAGGUGGGGUAACGGCUCACCUAGGCGACGAUCCCUAGCUGGUCUGAGAGGAUGACCAGCCACACUGGAACUGAGACACGGUCCAG
rnacentral:rRNA from 1 species